UACGAAGGGGGCUAGCGUUGCUCGGAAUCACUGGGCGUAAAGCGCACGUAGGCGGAUUGUUAAGUCAGGGGUGAAAUCCUGGAGCUCAACUCCAGAACUGCCUUUGAUACUGAAGAUCUUGAGUUCGGGAGAGGUGAGUGGAACUGCGAGUGUAGAGGUGAAAUUCGUAGAUAUUCGCAAGAACACCAGUGGCGAAGGCGGCUCACUGGCCCGAUACUGACGCUGAGGCACGAAAGCGUGGAGAGCAAACAGG
rnacentral:rRNA from 1 species